GGAAGGUAAAAGUCGUAACAAGGUUUCCGUAGGUGAACCUGCGGAAGGAUCAUUAUUGUAUAACCGAGGUGCGAGGGCUGUCGCUGACCCGAAAGGUCGUGCACGCCCGAGUGCCCUCACACACAUCCAUCUCACCCCUAUGUGCACCACCGCGUGGGUCCCCCUCUGGCUUGUUCGGAGGGGGGCUUACGUUUUCACACAAACUUUGUAUGCAGUGUAGAAUGUAUUUUUUGUUUUUGCGAUCACGCAAUCAAUACAACUUUCAACAACGGAUCUCUUGGCUCUC
rnacentral:misc_RNA from 1 species